rnacentral:lncRNA from 10 species
AUUUCUAGCUCUUGAUUUAAAGUGAGAGAUGUGUGAGUCUUCCUUUCAUUUGAAUAGUUAGAGGCCAUUGUAGGGUCAUUAACCGGCCUCCUUUCAAUAUUGUUGUCUCAGGAAAUAGGGAAGACUGAAGAGAGAGAGAGAGGUGGGGGAAUGACCAGUUGCUGGAGCAGUCAGAACACACACAACAUUUAUCAAUUAAGUUUUCCAUCUUAUGUUGGGCAGUUUGUGGUGCCCUAAAACAAUGAUAAUAAUAACAUCAGAUAUCACUGAUCACAAAUCAUUGUAACAGAUAUGAUGAUAAUGAAAAAGUUUGAAAUAUUGAGAGAGUUAUCAAAAUAUGACACAGAGACCUGAAGGGAGCACAUGCUGUUAGAAAAAUGUUGCUGAUAGAUUUACUUGACUCAGGGUGUCCACAGACCUUCAAUUUGUAAAAAAUGCAGUAUCUGUGAAAUGUAAUAAAAUGAGGUCCCCUAUAUGAAGAUAGGCAUAUAAGAAAGCAACAGGGCCUACUUAUUACUUGUACCAAAUUGAGUUUUCCCAAUUCAGCUUUAUCUGAUGCCUGCAUGUAAUAACUUGAGCACUGGUAUAAGUAAAAAUAAAAUACUGGGUUGCUUCUUACUUAGUUUUUAUUCUUUAGGUUAAAAUCUUCCUUGGAAAAUCUGGCCCCACAGUCUGUCAUAAUAAAAUCCUACAUGGAAGCCAAUAUCAAUUAACUGAAAUUAGCAUGGAGGCAGAAUCUAUUUUCCACACUUGCUCUGCAGCCAUUUUGCCUGGAAGCAUAUGUGCUCAUUACUGUUAUUUUGAACACAUUAGUUUUUCUAGGUUCAAAAGAAAGAGGAGUGAAGAGGAGUAAAACAUACAUCUAUUAAAAAGCAAGAAGGUUAAAUAAAUGGAAGCUUUUUAUUUUUCUUUCUCUGCCUAAGGUAAGUCAAACAGUGUUUAAAAACCUAAGUUUUUGUUUUGUUAUGAUGUAAAACAGGUCUCUUGUAUAGCGUGCUUGUUUUAAUAUCAAAAAGUAGCCAUUUGAAGCCUCAAGCAAGCGGGG